rnacentral:rRNA from 1 species
UACGAAGGGGCUAGCGUUGCUCGGAAUCACUGGGCGUAAAGGGUGCGUAGGCGGGUCUUUAAGUCAGGGUGAAAUCCUGGAGCUCAACUCCAGAACUGCCUUUGAUACUGAAGAUCUUGAGUUCGGGAGAGGUGAGUGGAACUGCGAGUGUAGAGGUGAAAUUCGUAGAUAUUCGCAAGAACACCAGUGGCGAAGGCGGCUCACUGGCCCGGUACUGACGCUGAGGUGCGAAGCGUGGGAGCAAACAGG